rnacentral:rRNA from 1 species
AAUAGAACCCUGGUAGUCCACGCCGUAAACGAUGGAUGCUAGCCGUUGUCGGGUUUACUCGUCAGUGGCGCAGCUAACGCAUUAAGCAUCCCGCCUGGGGGAGUACGGUCGCAAGAUUAAAACUCAAAGGGGAUUGACGGGGGGCCCGCACAAGCGGUGGAGCAUGUGGUUCAAUUCGAAGCAACGCGAAGAACCUUACCAGCCUUUGACAUCCCGGUCGCGGGCACCAGAGAUGGAGCCCUUCAGUUCGGCUGGACCGGAGACAGGUGCUGCAUGGCUGUCGUCAGCUCGUGUCGUGAGAUGUUGGGUUAAGUCCCGCAACGAGCGCAACCCUCGCCCUUAGUUGCCAUCAUUUAGUUGGGCACUCUAAGGGGACUGCCGGUGAUAAGCCGCGAGGAAGGUGGGGAUGACGUCAAGUCCUCAUGGCCCUUACAGGCUGGGCUACACACGUGCUACAAUGGCGGUGACAAUGGGAUGCAAUGGGGAGACCCUGCGCAAAUCUCAAAAAGCCGUCUCAGUUCGGAGUUG